rnacentral:rRNA from 1 species
GUGGGGAAUAUUGCACAAUGGGGGAAACCCUGAUGCAGCGACGCAGCGUGCGGGAUGACGGCCUUCGGGUUGUAAACCGCUUUCAGCAGGGAAGAAGCCUUCGGGUGACGGUACCUGCAGAAGAAGUACCGGCUAACUACGUGCCAGCAGCCGCGGUAAUACGUAGGGUACGAGCGUUGUCCGGAAUUAUUGGGCGUAAAGAGCUCGUAGGUGGUUGGUCACGUCUGCUGUGGAAACGCAACGCUUAACGUUGCGCGUGCAGUGGGUACGGGCUGACUAGAGUGCAGUAGGGGAGUCUGGAAUUCCUGGUGUAGCGGUGAAAUGCGCAGAUAUCAGGAGGAACACCGGUGGCGAAGGCGGGACUCUGGGCUGUAACUGACACUGAGGAGCGAAAGCAUGGGGAGCGAACAGGAUUAGAUACCCUUGUAGUCC